ACGAACGCUGGCGGCGUGCUUAACACCUGCAAGUCGAACGGAAAGGCCCUGCUUUUGUGGGGUGCUCGAGUGGCGAACGGGUGAGUAACACGUGAGUAACCUGCCCUUGAUUUUGGGAUAACUUCAUGAAACUGGGGCUAAUACCGGAUAGGAGCUCCUGCUGCAUGGUGGGGGUUGGAAAGUUUCGGCGGUUGGGGAUGGACUCGCGGCUUAUCAGCUUGUUGGUGGGGUAGUGGCUUACCAAGGCUUUGACGGGUAGCCGGCCUGAGAGGGUGACCGGCCACAUUGGGACUGAGAUACGGCCCAGACUCCUACGGGAGGCAGCAGUGGGGAAUAUUGCACAAUGGGCGGAAGCCUGAUGCAGCAACGCCGCGUGCGGGAUGACGGCCUUCGGGUUGUAAACCGCUUUCGCCUGUGACGAAGCGUGAGUGACGGUAAUGGGUAAAGAAGCACCGGCUAACUACGUG
rnacentral:rRNA from 1 species